rnacentral:rRNA from 1 species
AUUGAACGCUGGCGGCAGGCCUAACACAUGCAAGUCGAACGGUAGCACAGAGAGCUUGCUCUCGGGUGACGAGUGGCGGACGGGUGAGUAACGUCUGGGAAACUGCCCGAUGGAGGGGGAUAACUACUGGAAACGGUAGCUAAUACCGCAUAACGUCGCAAGACCAAAGUGGGGGACCUUCGGGCCUCACACCAUCGGAUGUGCCCAGAUGGGAUUAGCUAGUAGGUGGGGUAAUGGCUCACCUAGGCGACGAUCCCUAGCUGGGCUGAGAGGGUGGCCAGCCAAACUGGAACUGAGACACGGUCCAGACACCUACGGGAGGCAGCAGUGGGGAAUAUUGCACAAUGGGCGCAAGCCUGAUGCAGCCAUGCCGCGUGUAUGAAGAAGGCCUUCGGGUUGUAAAGUACUUUCAGCGGGGAGGAAGGCGGUGAAGUUAAUAGCUUCACCGAUUGACGUUACCCGCAGAAGAAGCACCGGCUAACUCCGUGCCAGCCGCCGCGGUAA